rnacentral:rRNA from 1 species
UACGGAGGGUGCAAGCGUUAUCCGGAUUUACUGGGUUUAAAGGGUGCGUAGGUGGGUUGGUAAGUCAGUGGUGAAAUACUUUCGCUUAACGAAGGAACUGCCAUUGAUACUACCAGUCUUGAAUACAGUGGAGGUAGGCGGAAUGCGUCAUGUAGCGGUGAAAUGCUUAGAUAUGACGCAGAACACCAAUUGCGAAGGAAGCUUGCUACACUGUUAUUGACACUGAGGCACGAAAGCGUGGGGAUCAAACAGG